GGUUCUGCACACCCUGAGGGUUUGAGAGCGGGGCCUGAGGCCGAGACAGGAGGUUUAAUGAUAAAGCCAAAACGACUGGGUCAUCGGGACGGCAGGAGAACCAGAGGGACGUAAAGGCAGGGAGCAGGGACUUCGGCAAGGGAGGACCACGGAAGAGAGCAGGAGACACACCCUAGAGGAAACUGGGACAACAGUGGUGACACGGAGGCCACAGGACCAGCAAGUGGCCAGGGUUAGAUGCCACCGGUGAGCCUGGGACAGAAGGCCCAGGGCAGAAAGGAGAUAAUGAAUUGGGACAGCAGGGACUUGUUUCCACUCUUGAUGAUCUUCCCACCAUUCCUUCUCGGCGUCCACUCAGAAGGCAGAUGCAAAUGCCUGCUCACUCUAGGAGUCAGCAAGUUCUAGACUCUGUCCUAUGGUGCUCCCAGCUGCUCUACCGUCUGCCCGCUCCUGCCCUUCUGUCCUAUGGUGCUCCCAGCUCCUCUGCCAUCUGCCUGCUCCUGCCUUUCAAGACCGACUGCCUAUGCACUUCCCUCUGGCUAGGGAUCUUCUUCAGUUGCUCAAAUUCAGUAGCCUGCCUCUGUCUCGGGACACCUGGUCUCACUCCUUGCUCUCCUCUUACCACAUUCCCUUGUGUGCUUUCUCAUCCCCCAGGCCCUAGAACUCAAAUACCACCUCCAUGGAGAGGCAGCUCUUGGCCAGGCCUAAAGUACAGCACGCUGUUCUCACUCCAGCAGGGUGUCCUGCCCUAUUUCCCCACCGCAGCAGCCGUGACCAGACACUGCUGUGUGUCAUGCCACACUGACGGGGGACCUCGCCUGUCCUGCCCAUGGCUGUGUUCUCAUGACCUAGUGCAGGACACAGGACAUCCGCACACCUCUGAAAGCAUCUUGGGAAAGGACAAGACGAGAGAAGAAGGUGGGCAGAGUAUGGUUCUUGGGGAAGGGACUGGGAGAAGCAGCCUGGCGGAGGGGAGAAGCUACUUCUCCACAGAGCAGGUGGGAGGAGGUCAGCUGUGGCUGUCUGCCAGAGCCAGAAACAAGAAAACUACAAGUAUCUCCGAAUAUAUAAAAAUGUAAGUACAGUGGCAAUGACAAUCUUUGAACUCAUUUCAUUCUCAAAGAUGAAAGACUAAUGCUUUGCGUGGUAAGACUGAGACAAUGACAUUCUUGGAGAUGGAAAUUGGUGUGACAUUGUUGGGAUAGCAGGUUAGUUAUACUGUAUCAACCAUCAGAGGAUCUUCCACCCUGGAACGUUACCUGGAUUAUCCCGAGAGGACGUAAGCAGUAGCAGCAGAGUGACAGUGCUCACCAAUGGUGAGAGCUGGUAUCUACCCAGUGCUUGCUAUAUGCCAGGCCCCGCUUUAAAUGCCCGGUGUAGCACAUGUCAUUUAACCCUUUCAACUCUCCUUUCAAGUAUGUAUCCCCAGCACUGUUAUUUUAUAGACAAAGACAGAAAGCGUCUCUGUUCUAGCAUGUGCCAGGCAAGACACUUCAUGCGAUAUUUACCAACUUAUUUAUUGGUAACUUUUUUCAAACGGCAGAGAAGAUAAAGAAAAGAUGACCCAAAGUUCUCUGAUGAAUGCUCCUGGCCUCUUUCCAUGUACAUGUACAGAAUUGCUUAUAAAAGGGCUAUUCAGAAAUUAUAAUAUUGCUCAAAAUGCUUGCCCUGAACAGCAAUAUAUUGGUUCUUGAUAUUGAUAACAUCUCUAAAAUGUCUUGUUAUUAAGAGGGUGAGAAAACCCUGUGUACUAAACCAUAGAAAAGAUUUGUCUUCUCCUGGGACCCUGAGAGGUGGACUCGCUGGUCAUCGGGUAACCUUGCUGCUUCGUCACUCACUGGACGUCGGCAUGCAUAAAAACAUGGCCCCUUUACAAAAUUCUUUCACAGCUUCCAGAUUUUACUGGAAACCGUCUUCUUCCCUGAGCCCAUUCCAGGCCUCUUCAGCACAUGGAGUUUUCCCCGUUCUUCAAGAUGUCUAGACCACAAACACCCGUGAAUUAUUGGGAGAAAAGUUGCAUGUAUUUAACUCUGAAUAUAUGUCCCCACAUACUUUCCAAGAAGCGGCUUAUGCUAGGAAGUCUGGGUAGGAGCUAAGAGGCUGAGCGCUGUCCAGUGCUGAGAACUGUUCUGAGAGCUUUAGAUCCACGGAAUCCCCUGAACAACACUUGAAGGAUGCUUUUGAUGUCUUUUCCUAACUUGAAUUUUUUCCCAAAUGGAAUGUCAGAAAUAAUAACAUCGACACUUUGUGACGGCAGCGGUAACUCUGCAGUGGAGAAACCAGAGACCCUGGUUACGGCAAGGUCAGGCAUUGACCACCUCAACAAGACACUGACCUACUCAAUAAAAUGCAGAGUUUCUGUAUUGUUUCUACGAGGUGACAAGACUCAGGAUGCUUUGGGGAUUGAAGACAAAGAGCAGCAACACUAUUGUGUAAUCCUCCCUGGUCUGGCAGGGUCACUGGCAGGAGGAAACUGUAGAGGGCAGUGUUGUAGAAUAUUAUUUUAAGCCCACAGCAUCAGCAUCUACAGGAAGUACCACUGACUCUGCGCGUUCACCUAAGGGCUCUGCAACACAGACCAUGGGCUAGCACCCAGCUCCUAAGACAGCACACAGCGAAACCCUGUAAAUUAAGUGCUCUGAACUGCCUGUGGACGGAUCACCUGUAACUAAGGACAAGGCCCUAAAACAGGAACAGCCAAAGCAAACAAGCAAACGAGCGAACAAUUCUGUUUUAUAUCUCUGGAGGAUGAUUCAAGAAUGGGAAAAAAGUUUAGUUUGAAAACUGGGUCAACAAAAACAAAAGAACUACUUGGGUUCUCCUUUGUUUUCUGGCAGAAAGAAGGGUUAAAAAGACUUAAAACACAGGGCUGUGGAGCUAAGAUUCUCUCUUGUAGGCUUUACGGGUCCUCAGGUAUGCUUUCACGCAUAAACACAGGAUUAGUUGGCUUUUCUAGAAGUGGGCACUCUCUUCUAUUUUUCCCUCGUAUUUUCUGUGGCUUCUCAUCCCCUCCCUUGUCCAGGUCUGGGACACUCAUGUUCUGUCAGAAACAACCAUUCUCUUAGUUGUUUAAAGUUAGUUCUAUACUAUAAUGAACUCAAUCAUCUUGCCCUGACAUCCUCUAUUCAGCUGAUUCAUCUUUUCUAUGUCUGCAUUUUAUGAAACACCUCCCAGGCUGCAAAGAGCUAAUUAGUGAAAUGUUCCCUGAACAUUUUACAUUGGAAAGUGUCUGUGCUAAAACACUAUUGUGCAUGGCAUAUUUUUUUGGGUGACAGUCUGCUUCAGACACUGUGAAACAGACACUACCCUAGAAACGGUUGUAACUUGUCUCUUUCCAUUGUGGCCAAAAACAAUGGAGAUGCUUAUUUCGCUGGCUCAUCACCUUCCCCGGUCGGUCAGCUGCUGCUGGGUCUUCUUCUAUGCUCAUAACUCUUUUGUUUAUAUCAGCUAAGUAUAGGGAGGCGCAAAUAAUGUCAUCCAAUUGUUUGCUUUGUUUAUGUGUAGCCCUGGCUGUCCUGGAACUCACUUGUAGACUAGGCUGGCCUCAAACUCAGAGAUCCGCCUGGCUCUGCUCCCAAGCACUGGGAUUGAAAGGCGUGCACCACCACCAGCCAGCAGCUAGCCUGUUUUUAUGUGUGCCACACGCACAUAGUGCCUUUGGAGGACAGAAGUGGCUGCUGGAUUCUGAGACUGGAGUCACAAACAGUCGUGAGCUGCCAUGUGGGUGCUGGGACUCAAACCUGGGAAGAGUAGCCAGUGCUUUUAAUAACUGAGCCAUCUCUCCAGCCCCUAAAAGUAGUCUUAAACAUGUAAAACGUACUUUGGCAAUUGGGUUGGGAUACCAUUUAAUUUAUAGUUCAGUAAGGAAUAUUGUUGAAAAGGAGAAUGCUAAAAUUAAUAACUUUGGAAAUACCCAUUAUCUUACCUGAUGGUGGGCAUAAAAACAACACAUAUUUGUGCACAUUAAGGCUUUAAUCAAACCUUAAAAAUCUGAACACUGCCGGGGGUGUGGUGACACAUGCAUUUAAUUCCAGCACUCGGGAGGCAGAGGGAGGCGGAUCUCUGUGAAUAGCCAGCCUG